rnacentral:tRNA from 1 species
GCCGGGGUGGCGGAAUGGUAGACGCAACGGACUUAAAAUCCGUUGUUCCGCAAGGAGCGUGCGGGUUCGAGUCCCGCCCUCGGCA